rnacentral:rRNA from 1 species
UACGUAGGGGGCAAGCGUUGUCCGGAAUUAUUGGGCGUAAAGAGCGUGUAGGCGGUCCGGUAAGUCAGCUGUGAAAGUCAAGGGCUCAACCCUUGAAUGCCGGUUGAUACUGUCGGGCUAGAGUCCGGAAGAGGCGAGUGGAAUUCCUGGUGUAGCGGUGAAAUGCGCAGAUAUCAGGAGGAACACCAAUUGCGAAGGCAGCUCGCUGGGACGUUACUGACGCUGAGACGCGAAAGCGUGGGGAGCAAACAGG